AUAUCAAUAAGCGGAGGAAAAGAAACCAACCGGGAUUGCCUCAGUAACGGCGAGUGAAGCGGCAAGAGCUCAAAUUUGAAAGCUGGCUCCUUCGGGGUCCGCAUUGUAAUUUGCAGAGGAUGCUUCGGGUGCAGCCCCCGUCUAAGUGCCCUGGAACGGGCCGUCAUAGAGGGUGAGAAUCCCGUAUGGGGCGGGGUGUCUGCGUCCGUGUGAAGCUCCUUCGACGAGUCGAGUUGUUUGGGAAUGCAGCUCUAAAUGGGUGGUAAAUUUCAUCUAAAGCUAAAUACUGGCCGGAGACCGAUAGCGCACAAGUAGAGUGAUCGAAAGAUGAAAAGCACUUUGAAAAGAGAGUUAAACAGCACGUGAAAUUGUUGAAAGGGAAGCGCUUGCAACCAGACUCGCUCGCGGGGUUCAGCCGGGCUUCGGCCCGGUGUACUUCCCCGCGGGCGGGCCAGCGUCGGUUUGGGCGGCCGGUCAAAGGCCUCCGGAAUGUAGCGCCCUUCGGGGCGCCUUAUAGCCGGGGGUGCAAUGCGGCCAGCCUGGACCGAGGAACGCGCUUCGGCACGGACGCUGGCAUAAUGGUUGUAAACGA
rnacentral:rRNA from 1 species